UAUGCACCUCGUUAGGUGAGGCGUCUACACGAAUACAGGCCACUGACCCCGAACGUCGAAAGACGCCCCGGGUCAGGACAGCUCCUCCCGGCUUAAGGGUUGAGCCCAGGUGGCUUCCGGCUCGGAUUGUUUUCCCGGGCCAGGACACGUCGUGUGGUGCCGAAGCUCUGACGAGAGGGGUGCGGA
rnacentral:sRNA from 2 species